AAAUAAAGCACACAUACAAAAAAUAAUUGUCUCUGCAAAGCGCAGCCUCAAUUCACUUCUUCCCAGUCAUCCACACCAAUCCUAUACAUACACUAUACACACAGAGAGAUUCCAUGGCGGCCCUGAACGGAGUUAAGACAGCAACAUUAACACAAGCGUACUUAGAAAGCAAUCAAGUGAAAGAAACAAAGAAUCUUAUUACAGAGCUGUGCCGUCAGUUCUAUACACUAGGAUGGGUGUCUGGUACAGGUGGAAGCAUCACUAUCAAAGUCCACGAUGAUUGUAUUCCCAAGCCCCAACAGCUCAUCCUCAUGUCCCCUUCUGGUGUGCAGAAGGAGAGAAUGGUGGAGGAAGAUAUGUAUGUGUUGUCUUCAACUGGGUCUAUCUUGUUUUCGCCUUUACCAAAGCCUUACCCUCAUAAAGCUCCUAAAUGUUCUGAUUGUGCUCCUCUUUUCAUGAAGGCAUAUGAGAUGCGUAAUGCUGGCGCUGUCAUCCAUAGUCAUGGGAUGGAAUCUUGUAUUGCGACAAUGAUCAAUCCGCUAGCUAAAGAGUUCCGUAUCACCCAUAUGGAAAUGAUAAAAGGGAUCCAGGGCCAUGGCUACUACGAUGAGCUCGUGGUUCCCAUUAUUGAAAACACUGCUCAGGAGCGGGAGCUUACUGAAUCUCUUGCUGCUGCGAUUGAAGCUUACCCAAAGUCAACAGCUGUGCUUGUGCGAAACCAUGGUGUUUAUAUAUGGGGAGACUCCUGGAUUAGUGCAAAAACUCAGGCUGAAUGUUACCAUUAUCUCUUUGAGGCUGCAAUCAAACUUCAUCAGCUGGGGCUGGAUUGUUCUACGCCUAGUCAUGGUCCAAUUCAAAGUUUUAAAGGGCUAUCAAAUGUUAACCAUAGUGUAAAUAUGUCUGUAAAGGCUGGAAGCGCAAUCUCCAACAAUGGGAUUGAGCCCUCGCAUCGUUGCAUUGUUCUGGACAUUGAAGGGACCACUACUCCUAUAUCGUUCGUUACUGAUGUACUCUUUCCAUAUGCCCGGGAAAAUGUGGGGAACCAUUUAGAUGCAACAUAUGAUAGUGCAGAAACUCAAGACGAUAUCAAACUGUUACGUGCACAGGUCGAAGAUGACCUCAAGCAGGGAAUAGUAGGUGCCGUGCCCAUUCCACCUGAUGGUGCAGGAAAAGAAGAGGUAGUCGCAGCUUUGGUUGCUAAUGUGGAAGCAAUGAUAAAAGCUGACAGGAAAAUUACUUCCUUGAAACAAUUACAAGGUCAUAUCUGGAGAACUGGAUUUCAUAAAAGCGAAAUUGAAGGCCUAGUUUAUGAUGAUGUACCUGAGGCUCUUGAGAAGUGGCAUGCUCUGGGAAUCAAGAGAGCAAUACUAUGGUUUGGAAGAAACAUGUCCAGAAUGAUAUGUUUGGAGGGGGGCGCUAGGAAACAGGCAUGGAGAAUCAUCGAUCAUUACAGAAUGAUGAGUUGUUGGAAACGGCCUGCGUAUCUACUUUAGUGUACAUAUAUUCCAGUGGUAGCAGAUUGGCACAGAGGCUUUUGUUUGGUUACACAAAUUAUGGUGACCUGAGAAAGUACUUAUGUGGAUACUUUGACACGACUGUGGGGAACAAAAAAGAAACAAAAAGUUAUCUAGAAAUUUCAGAAUAUCUUGGAGUGCAUAAGCCAUCAGAUAUAUUGUUUGUUACUGAUGUCUAUCAAGAAGGUGUAGCUGCAAAGGCAGCAGGUUUGGACGUGAUCAUUUCUGUCCGGCCGGGAAAUGGCCCUCUUCCAGAAAAUCAUGGAUUCAAGACUGUAACUUCCUUUUCAGAAAUAUAGAGUUGGAGAUUUAUUUCACACUUAACAUGAAAAUAUGAUGUUGGACUUGACAAAAGAAGAAAAUAUGGUGUUGUAAUGAAUAAAAAUGCUGUUCAUGUAUUCGCCUUUUUUAAAAAAAGAAGAUCUUUUUGCUCA